UACAGAGGUCUCAAGCGUUGUUCGGAUUCAUUGGGCGUAAAGGGUGCGUAGGCGGCGCGGUAAGUCGGGUGUGAAAUCUCGGAGCUUAACUCCGAAACUGCAUUCGAUACUGCCGUGCUUGAGGACUGGAGAGGAGACGUGGAAUUUACGGUGUAGCGGUGAAAUGCGUAGAUAUCGUAAGGAAGACCAGUGGCGAAGGCGGGUCUCUGGAC
rnacentral:rRNA from 1 species